rnacentral:lncRNA from 1 species
AUGAACCUUUGGAGUAGGAAGAGGAAGCGCCAAGAUCACCAUAGAAAGCCCAAGAAAACCACAAAGAAAUCAAAAUCUAUAACAAAACGUCAAAAGCAGAAUCAAGUUGUAGCAGUUCCCGAUCGGAGUAACAAGAAAUUGGUAAAACACACAGUGGCAAGAUGGUCUGCAGGGAGGUGAGGACUCUGUUCUUAAUUAGUUGUUUUGAUUAGCUAUAUUAGUUAUUUUGAGCUUUGUUUAAGAAGUUGGGUUUUGUUAAUAUGUGUUCAUGCUUUGAUUUGGGUUUAAGGUACAAGGCUGCAGAGGAAAACAUGCUGAGGGUGAUGAAGGCCAAGGGUGCUAAAUUUGGGAGCCCAAUACUGAGGCCAGCGCUGAGGUCUGAGGCAAGGAAGCUGACUGGGGAUACGGGUUUGUUGGACCAUUUGCUCAAACACAUGGCGGGCAAGGUGGUGCCAGGUGGAGCCGAGAGAUUUAGGCGGCGCCACAAUGCAGAUGGAGCCAUGGAGUAUGGGCUGGAGAGAUUCAUGAGCUCUGGGAAGAGAUAA